rnacentral:rRNA from 1 species
UACGUAGGGGGCAAGCGUUGUCCGGAAUCAUUGGGCGUAAAGAGCGUGUAGGCGGACUUAAAGGUCUGGUGUGAAAGCCCGGGGCUCAACCCCGGAGGGUCACUGGAAACCAUAAGUCUUGAAUCUGGAAGAGGAGAGUGGAAUUCCUGGUGUAGCGGUGGAAUGCGCAGAUAUCAGGAGGAACACCGAUGGCGAAGGCAGAUCUCUGGGCCGUAACUGACGCUGAGGAGCGAAAGCGUGGGGAGCGAACAGG